UUCACAGCCCGACCUGAGUGGAGCUCUUUUUUAUUAAUGGCUGAGCGAAGUCGAAGACAGUAAUAAAAAAAGCGGGAACGGAGGGCGGAAAAUGCU
rnacentral:misc_RNA from 1 species